GGGGAUUUAGCUCAGCAGCAUAAGCACCUGCCUUGCAAGCAGGUGAGUUCAAUCCUCG
rfam:Cavia porcellus supercont2_0 genomic scaffold, whole genome shotgun sequence.